AAUAGAUACCCGGGUAGUCCACCCCGUAAACGUUGGGAACUAGUUGUGGGGUCCUUUCCACGGAUUCCGUGACGCAGCUAACGCAUUAAGUUCCCCGCCUGGGGAGUACGGCCGCAAGGCUAAAACUCAAAGGAAUUGACGGGGACCCGCACAAGCGGCGGAGCAUGCGGAUUAAUUCGAUGCAACGCGAAGAACCUUACCAAGGCUUGACAUACACCAGAACACCCUAGAAAUAGGGGACUCUUUGGACACUGGUGAACAGGUGGUGCAUGGUUGUCGUCAGCUCGUGUCGUGAGAUGUUGGGUUAAGUCCCGCAACGAGCGCAACCCUCGUUCUAUGUUGCCAGCACGUAAUGGUGGGAACUCAUGGGAUACUGCCGGGGUCAACUCGGAGGAAGGUGGGGAUGACGUCAAAUCAUCAUGCCCCUUAUGUCUUGGGCUUCACGCAUGCUACAAUGGCCGGUACAAAGGGCUGCAAUACCGUGAGGUGGAGCGAAUCCCAAAAAGCGGUCCCAGUUCGGAUUGAGGUCUGCAACUCGACCUCA
rnacentral:rRNA from 1 species